rnacentral:tRNA from 1 species
GGGGUUGUGGCUCAGCGGUAGAGCGCUCCCUUAGCACGUGCGAGGCCCUGGGUUUGUUUGAUCCUCAGCACCACA